rnacentral:sRNA from 23 species
GUUAAAGUUUUCUAGGGUUCCGCACAUUCGUAUGUGGCCUGGUCCGAGAGAAAACACAUAUGAUUUGUUCAUAUGCACACGGAGGGAUAAAAGCCCGGGAGUA